CCUACGGGAGGCAGCAGUAGGGAAUCUUCCGCAAUGGACGAAAGUCUGACGGAGCAACGCCGCGUGAACGAUGAAGGCCUUCGGGUCGUAAAGUUCUGUUGUUAGGGAAGAACAAGUGCUAGUUAAAUAAGCUGGCACCUUGACGGUACCUAACCAGAAAGCCACGGCUAACUACGUGCCAGCAGCCGCGGUAAUACGUAGGUGGCAAGCGUUGUCCGGAAUUAUUGGGCGUAAAGCGCGCGCAGGCGGUUUCUUAAGUCUGAUGUGAAAGCCCCCGGCUCAACCGGGGAGGGUCAUUGGAAACUGGGAAACUUGAGUGCAGAAGAGGAAAGUGGAAUUCCAAGUGUAGCGGUGAAAUGCGUAGAGAUUUGGAGGAACACCAGUGGCGAAGGCGACUUUCUGGUCUGUAACUGACGCUGAGGCGCGAAAGCGUGGGGAGCAAACAGGAUUAGAUACCCUGGUAGUCCACGCUGUAAACGAUGAGUGCUAAGUGUUAGAGGGUUUUCCGCCCUUUAGUGCUGAAGUUAACGCAUUAAGCACUCCGCCUGGGGAGUACGGUCGCAGGACUGAAACUCAAAUGAAUUGACGG
rnacentral:rRNA from 1 species